rnacentral:lncRNA from 1 species
AAGUCAAUAGUAGUCAAAAGAAUUCAAAGUGAACUCCAUAAGCUGAUGGUUAAUUCAUGAGUUAAACUCGAGCUGGGCUUAAACUCGUGAGCUGAUAAUGAGCUGGUCCCGAGCUAAUGAGCUGGUGUGGAGCUACAUGGGAGCUAACUUGAACUGAAGGUGAGCUCAGUGAGCUGAACUGAACUUGUAGAAAAGUUCAGCAUGGAUUUCCAAAAUGGCCACUAACUGGUUCGAUAGGUGUAGCAUUGACAUCAUCCCACACAUGCUGAACUAAAACUAUAACGGCUUCUUUAAAUUGUUUUGCACGAGCCCUUGUGAUCGGCCCUUGAGGUAGCACCAUCAGAUCUCGGCUUGGACUUGACUUAUGGGAAGCCGUGAUCGUAUCAUCCUCCCCCUCUUGAAAAUGACUUGUCCUCAAGUCAGUAUCUACAUCGAAAGGAGUCAAGUCAAAGACAUUAAAACUAGCACUAACAUUGUACUCACCUGGUAAGUCAAGCUUAUACGAAUUUUCAUUGAUUCGCUCGAUGACUUGGAAGGGGCCGUCUCCUCGUGGCAACAACUUAGAUCUUCGUUGAGCUGGAAACCUUUCUUUUCUCAUGUGCACCCAGACCCAGUCUCCGGGUUCAAAUACAACUCGUUUUCAUCCUUUGUUGGCUCGUUGGACGUAUUGCUCGGUUCGAGAUUCAAUAUUCUCUCGAACUUGCCUAUGUAAUUCCUUGACAAAUUCAGCCUUUUUCCUUGCAUCUGUAUGGACAAAUUGAUCAACAGGAAAAGGUAAUAAAUCAAGAGGAGUAAGAGGAUUAAAUCCAUAGACAGUCUCAAAAGGAGAGAAUUUGGUUGCCGAGUGAACAGAGCGAUUAUAAGCGAACUCGAUGUGGGGUAAGCAUUCUUCCCACGUCUUGAGGUUCUUUCGUACCAACGCUCGCAACAAAGUUGACAAAACUCGGUUUACCACCUCAGUUUGGCCAUCCGUUUGAGGAUGACAAGUGGUUGAAAAUAAUAACUUCGUCCCAAGUUUUCCCUAUAAUGUCCGCCAAAAGUGACUCAAGAACUUUGUAUCUCGAUCGGAAACAAUUGUUCUUGGUAAUCCAUGCAGUCGUACAAUUUCCCUAAAAAACAAAUUAGCAAUAUGCACAGCGUCAUCAGUUUUAGCACAAGAAAUAAAAUGUGACAUUUUAGAGAAUCUAUCGACUACAACAAAGAUUGAGUCCUUCCCUGUCUUAGUUUUUGGUAAUCCAAGAAUAAAAUCCAUAGAGACAUCGGUCCACGGGGUGUCAGGAAUGGGAAGUGGUGUGUAAAGUCCAUGAGGUUGGACCUUCAACUUAGCCCGUUUACAAAUUAGGCAACGUUCACAGAUCCGCUCCACGUCUCUCCGCAUUCGCGGCCAGUAAAAAUGUUCAUGGAGGGUCGACAAUGUCUUGCUUAUUCCAAAGUGUCCCAUUAGGCCACCACUAUGCGCCUCCAACAUAAGUAACUCUCGAAUGGAGCCUUGUGGUAUACACAACCUAUUUUCUUUAAAAAAAAACCCUUCGUACCUAAAAAAUUUCUCAAAAGACCCAUUUUCACAAGCAGCAUAUAUAUUUCCAAAAUCCUCAUCAUUAGCAUACAACUCUUUCAUAUGAUAAAAACCAAGUAACUUAGAAUCAAGAGUGGUCAAUAAGGUAUAUCUCCGUGACAAGGCAUCAGCCACUACAUUUUCUUUACCUUUCUUGUAUUUGAUGACGUAGGGAAAUGACUCUAAAUACUCGACCCAUUUUGCAUGUCGUUUGUUGAAUUUAUGCUGACCUUUAAUAAACUUAAGUGCUUCGUGAUCGGAAUGAAUCACGAACUCCUUCGGUCUUAGAUAGUGCUGCCAAGUUUCAAGUGAUCGAAUCAAGGCAUACAUCUCUUUGUCGUACACCGAAUAAUUGAGGGAAGCGCCACUUAAUUUCUCACUGAAGUACGCCACCGGUCUUCCGUCUUGGGUCAACACAGCCCCGAUCCCUACACUUGAAGCGUCACACUCAAUUUCAAAUGUUUUAGUAAAAUCUGGAAGGGACAAUAGAGGAGCUUUCACAAGACAUUCUUUAAGCAAAUUAAAUGAACGUUCUUAAUCUUCAGACCAGUGAAAUGCGGAGUUUUUCUUAAUCACGCUUGUUAAGGGUGCUGCAAUGGUACUAAAGUUGGGCACAAAUCGACGGUAAAAGCUAGCCAAUCCAUGGAAGCUUCGAACUUGGCUAAUGUUCGUCGGACGCGGCCAUUCUUGAAUCGCUUGAACUUUUUCUUGAUCCAUCUCCAAACCGUUGGCACUCACGACAUAACCUAAAAACACAACUUUAUCAGUGCAAAAUGAACACGUUUUGAGAUUAGCAUACAAUACCUCUUUUCGUAAAGUUUCCAACACCGCUCGUAAAUGUGGUACGUGCUCCUCUAAAGUUUUGCUGUAGACCAAGAUAUCGUCAAAGUAUACAACACAAAAUUUACCAAUAAACGCACGUAAUACAUGGUUCAUCAAUCUCAUAAAAGUGCUGGGAGCAUUUGUAAGGCCGAAUGGCAUUACCAACCAUUCGUACAAACCCAAUUUCGUUUUGAAGGCCGUCUUCCAUUCAUCGCCUUCUCGCAUUCGUAUUUGAUGAUAGCCACUUUUAAGAUCAAUUUUCAUGAAAAUUUGGGCUCCACUUAAUUUGUCAAGCAUGUCGUCAAGAUGGGGUAUCGGAUGUUGAUACUUGAUAGUGAUUUUGUUGAUGGCGCGACAGUCCACGCACAUCCGCUAUGACCCAUCUUUCUUGGGUACAAGCAGCACCGGCACCGGACAGGGACUUAAGCUCUCUCAGAUGAUCCUUUGUCUAGGAGUUCAGUAAUUUGCUUUUACAAUUCCUUCGUUUCUUCGGGAUUACUCCGAUAAGCAGGACGGUUGGGUAGUGCAGCUCCGGGUACUAAGUCUAUUUGAUGUUCGAUGCCUCGGAUAGGGGGCAGCCCACUUGGUAUUUCGUCCAGAAAUAUGUCUUCAAAUUCCCGAAUCAAAGACAAUACAGAAGCAGGCAAGUUUUCAGGUAACUCGUUAGUAUUCAACAAUGCCUCCUUGUACAUAAAUACAUACAUAGGCUGUCUCAAAAACAUCGCUCGCCGGAUAUCACUAACCCUCGCAAACACACUCAUUUUUCCACUUUCUUUUUCCUCUCCCCUUUUUACUUGUUUUUGUUUCUUUUCAUUUUCUCUUGCAUUUUUAGUCUUUUCUCUCUCUUUUUCCUUAAUUUUCUCUUUUGCACUCUUUUCUUUUUCUCUCGCUUGUUCCACUGAAAGUUUAAGUUUUUGUUGAUCCUCGUACACUUGCUUCGGAGUUAGGGGUGCAAGUGUUACGUUCUUGCCAAGAUGUUUGAAGGAGUAUCUAUUAGUGUAACCAUCAUGCAUCACCCGUCGGUCGAACUGCCAUGGUCGUCCUAAAAGCAAAUGGCCCGCGUACAUCGGCACUACAUCAGAUAAUACUUCAUCAGAAUACUUCCCGAUGCUAAAGGACACUAGGACUUGUUUUGUCACUUUGAGUUCACCACCAUCGUUAAGCCACUGGAGCUUGUAUGGAUUCGGGUGCUUGGUGGUUGACAGCCCCAACUUUUCCACCAUGAGGGUGCUCGCCACGUUUGUGCAACUCCCUCCAUCGAUUAUGAUGCUACACACUUUCCCUUGCACUUGACAUCUCGAAUGAAAAAUGUUCUCACGUUGUUGUUCGUCUUCCACACUUUGAAGACUUAGGCUUCGCUUGACGACGAGUAACUCACCUUCAACGGGUUGUUCUAAGUCCGCCUCAACUUCGGAAUUCGAUUCAGCAUCGUUCUCUUCCUCAUCCUCCGUUUCAAUCUCACCGUCGGCCCUUAUCACCAUGGUACGUCUAUUCAGGCACUGACUCGCUAUAUGUCCAUGACCAAGACACUUGAAGCACUUUAUGUCCCUUGAACGGGCGGUGGAACUUUUAGGAGCCAUACCUUUACUUGACUCAGCAAUAGGCUUAUUCGCCUUAGAUAUUGUUGAAGAAUCCUUCGUUCGAUUUGUUGGAAAACCCUUGCUUGUGCUUUGGCCCCAUUUAGAAGGAUUGGUGUUAGGAUAGGCUCGGGUGGUACCUUUUCGCUUCAACUGCUUCUCCACUUUGAUAGCCAUGUGGACCAUGUCCACAACCUCAAUGUAAUGUUGCAGUUCUACGACAUUUGCAAUCUCUCGAUUAAGUCCUGCUAGAAAGCGAGCCAUUGUGGCUUCUCGAUCUUCUUGUAUAUCGGCACGGAUCAUAGCCACUUCCAUUUCUUUAUAAUAAUCUUCCACACUCUUCGUCCCUUGGAUGAGAUUUUAGAGUUUUUGAUGCAACUCCCGAUGAUAGUAGGAUGGAAUGAAUCGUCGCCGCAUAACCGCCUUCAUUUCGGUCCAAGUGGAAAUGGGAUGCUCCCCGUUACGCCUCCGACUAGUGGUCAACUGAUCCCACCAUAUCAUUGCGUAAUCUGAAAACUCAAUUGCGGCGAGUUUGACUUUCUUAUUUUCAGAGUAGUUAUGACAUUCGAACACUAGUUCGAUUUUCUUCUCCCACUCAAGGUACGCCUCGGGAUCAGAUUUACCUUGGAAAGGAGGAAUGGAGAGUUUGAUAUUCUUCAAGUCAUCAUCUUCCCUCCUUCGAUCUACUUGUCCAUGGUUUCGGGGACGUCUCCUUUCUAGGCUUAUGUUAGACCCGUGAUCGCUUUCAUCUUCACUAUUUUCAUUAACAUCAUCAUCUUGAACCCUUGGUUGUCUUCGUCGUUGAUUGGGCCCUUCACGUCUUUGCCUAGCAACUUCAGGAUAUUCAUCGCGUUGUCUUUGGGCCUCGACUUGGUAGAGUCGAUCUUCAAGAGGAUUAAGCCUUCGAUCAAGUAAUCGUUCCAUCUCACGCAAAAGGGCUUGCAUUUGCAAAUCUGGAACGUUUCUGACGGGUUGUCGCCCUUGUUGUUCUUCCAUGUUUUGUCCACUAUUUUGGGACAUCUAUUCAUUUAAGAUAGCCUCACAAACAAAUCCUCUCAAUCCGCUCAGAAAGAAAGAAGCUUGAUGACACUCACACUCGUGUUUACACUCUUAGUUCGGCUUUUACCUCCCCUCGAAUGCGCUCACGCUCUCUUGCCUUUUACCUCUCUUGACUUUUCUCGUAAUUUCGUAAGCAGAUUCAUUAAGGCUCGGUCCUUGGUCUAGGUGGUCGAUUCAAAAGGGAUAACAAGUGAUUGAUGUAUUCGUAUAGGGUAGGCUGAAAGAAUAGGGAAUUGGGUAAAAAAUGUGGCGAAUUAGGGAGAGUAGAAUAGAAGAAGGAUCAGGAACUAUAUCAGAUCAAAGCUUGACGAUCAAAUAACAAUUGAAUUGCAUAAAUCACUUUUUUUUAUUUUUUUUCGAAUUUUUUUUUUUCAAAUUUUUUUUUAUUUUUUUUAACUUGUAUAACUUUUUUUUGUUGUACUAUAUCGACAAACUAAAUACAAUAAAACACUUUUGUACAUGAUUUUUUUUUCUUUGGCUGCGUAGAUUUUUGUUUUUAUAGCAACAAUAACAAACUAAUCGAAAUGAGAAAACUUCGGUAUACAAAUUUUUUUUUCUGAACCUACCUAGGGAAUGCUCUACUUCGAACGUCUAAGCUUCUCGUUUUAGGUAGCUCUGAUACCAGAUGAUACAAACCGUCUCGGGAAGAGUCGAGUCGUAUGUAAAUUGCCCGAUCGUCUACGAGAAGCUACGUUAGGUUUAGUUGAGUUGAAGGUAUGGUCAAAGUAGAAAGAGGGGUACGAAUGGAAUGGUAGGAAUGAAAGGGUAGGAACAAAAGGAUAUGAACAAAUUGGUUGGUUUAGGUUCGAUUAGGUAAAGAAGAAAGAAUGGGUUUGAACUACUAAAGGUACUUUCAAGAACCAAAUACCGAAAUGGUAUCGACCCGUUGAUUUAGCCUUUUGAGUUCGGUUAUAGGUUUGGUAAGGGAAACCUCGACCCACUAUCUAACAAGAUAGGAACCUCGGUAUGUUGAACGCCACACUACGAAUAGUGAUAAGUUCGGGUACGAUAAAGAACACGGUUGACACAACUAGAACACUAGGAACGCCAAACGAAUCUUUGAACGAAAUAUAAGAAAAGUAUGCCUCACAAUUUCGGCAGCAUAACAUUAACAAAAGUUUCAAAAAGUCCUUUACAUGGAAAUUGAACAAGUAUUUAUAGGCCUAAGUCUAGGUAGCCGAUUGGCCUUUCAUGCUUACACAUUAAUUAAAUAAAAUUCUAGAAAAAUAACUCUUAAUAUGCAUGACCAGAUUCGGUUUUGGGAAUGGUUGAUGAAUGCAUCUUCAUGCUUAAGAAAACUCAAAGUGAAUGCAUGAUAUCCAAUGGUCACUUGUAGAUUCGGCUAACCUUGUUAAAUGAAGCAAUGUUUGGCCAAAAAGUAUGAAUUAAUUGUGGACACUCCAAGGGCCAUCAUGUGUGUGAAACCGAAUGUUGAAGAGUCUUCUAGUGUUAACAAGGUGAACCGAAUGGUCUUGCCAUGUGAACAUAGGUGUGAACGAAUUAAGGAGAGUCAUGGGGAAGCUAAUUGGCCAAGCUAUCUUCAUGCAUGUGUGAGUGCCCUUUGGCCGAAUGGUCACCUUGGAGAAUGAAGAGAUAGCACACCAUACAUGAAUGGAAACAUUCAUGAACCUUAAAGACAUUGAAUAUGGUCAUACAUGCACUUGGCCGAACAUGCAGCUAAGAGAUUCAAGCCCUCCAACCGUCCAUGCACCUUCAAAAUUCAUGCUUGCUUUUAAUCUCCAUAUGUCCAUUGCGUUCCUACAAGAAAUGUGAACAUAAUUAAUUCAAACUAAUGUGAACACAAAUAUCAACAUUAAAUUCGGUUAUGACAAAUUUAAUUAUCAUCAAUAAACACUUUUAAGACAUACUUAAUAUAACUAAUGUGAACUAAAUUUAAUAUGUAGGAUAUUAAUUAACUAAUUAUUAAACUUAUUAAUUAAAAAGUCAAUAGUAGUCAAAUGAAUUCAAAGUGAACUCCAUGAGCUGAUGGUUAAUUCAUGAGUUAAACUCGAGCUGGGCUUAAACUCGUGAGCUGAUAAUGAGCUGGUCCUGAGCUAAUGAGCUGGUGUGGAGCUACAUGGGAGCUAACUUGAACUGAAGAUGAGCUCGGUGAGCUGAACUGAACUUGUAGAAAAGUUCGGCAUGGAUUUCCAAAAUGGCCACUAACUGGUUCGAUAGGUGUAGCAUUGACAUCAUCCCACACAUGCUGAACUAAAACUAUAA